rnacentral:tRNA from 1 species
UCCUUGGUGGCUCAGAUGGUAAAGCAUCUGCCUACAAUGCAGGAGACCUGGGUUCGAUCCCUGGGUCAGGAA